rnacentral:rRNA from 1 species
UCGAGGAUCUUUCGCAAUGGGCGCAAGCCUGACGAAGCGACGCCGUGUGAGUGAAGAAGGCCUUCGGGUUGUAAAGCUCUUUCGCCUGGGAACAAGAGACUUUAGCGAAUAACUAGAGGAUUUGAGGGUACUAGGUAAAGAAGCACCGGCUAACUCCGUGCCAGCAGCUGCGGUAAUACGGAGGGUGCAAGCAUUAAUCGGAUUUAUUGGGCGUAAAGAGGGCGUAGGCGGGGAUGUAAGUCAGAUGUGAAAGCCCGGGGCUCAACCCCGGAACGGCAUUUGAGACUGCAUUUCUAGAGGAUAGGCGGAGAAAACGGAAUUCCACAUGUAGCGGUGAAAUGCGUAGAUAUGUGGAAGAACACCGGUGGCGAAGGCGGUUUUCUAGCUUAGACCUGACGCUGAGGCCCGAAAGCAAGGGGAGCAAACAG